GGAGUAUCUCAGUGGUAGAGUCAUCUGCCUUGCAUGCAGAAGGUCCCGAAUUCAAUCUUCAGCGUCUCCA